AAAAACACCCAAGUGUCAUCUGGUAAUCAGUGUGUUGAUUCUUCUACCCUUGCACUUGCAAUUGUUCCUUGCAAUGAUUCUAGAGAUGGUCAGACAGAGACAAAUAAUAUGGAGGUAGAGGAUGAUAAUAUUGAUGAUGUUGAUGAUUCUUUUCGGUCUGAUAUAUUCGAUCCAAGAAACUGGGAUUCUCUUGAUUCUAACCAGAUUGAUAUCUUAGCACAAAAGGGUCCAAAAAGACACAUAUUAAUUAAGAAAUGUCCCAAAGAUAGAUAUCGUAGGUUUACUACAAUAUUCUAUAUUAGAUUCCUAUCAAAUGGAGAGUAUUGUGAUAGAGAAUGGCUUGUCUAUGCUAGACAACUUGAUGUCUUUUUAUUUGAUUGUAAAUUAUUUACAAAAAGUUUUCGGAAAGGUCAGUUGGCAAAUGAGGGUUGUAAUGAUUGGUCACAUAUGACCAAUAGACUAAAAGAUCACGAGCCAAUUGUGGAUCAUGUUUUGAGUAUGACAAAUUGGUAUGAGCUGCGCAGUAGAUUAGAAAAACAUCAAACUAUUGAUAAAGCAGCUCAACGACAACUUGAGAAAGAGAAGGACCAUUGGAGAAAGGUAUUUUUCAGAAUUGUUUGCAUUCUAAAAUUUCUUGCCAAGCAUAAUCUAGCAUUCCGUGGUACGAAUGGCAAGUUGUAUGAAGAUAGCAAUGGUGAUUUCUUGGGUUUGGUAGAGAUGUUGCCUGAAUUUGACCCUAUUAUUCAGGAGCAUGUUCGUCAUAUUACAAAUGAAGAAAAUCAUGCUCAUUAUCUUGAUCAUAAGAUUCAGAAUGAAUUGCUACACUUGCUUGAUUCAUGUAUUAGGUCUGAAAUUAUCAAGAAAAUAAAGAGCUCAAAGUAUUUCUCUGUCAUACUUGAUUGUACUCCUGAUGCAAGUCUCCAUGAGCAAAUUUCUUUAAUUAUAAGACAUGUGGAUUCAUCUUCAAGUCAAGUUUGCAUAGAAGAGUCCUUUCUAGGAUUUCUUGAUGUAAAUGAUACAACUGGCCAAGGACUUUUUGAAGUGCUACAGAACAAGCUAAAACUUUUUGAUCCUGAUAUAAAUGAUGUGCGAGGACAAGGUUACGAUAAUGUAUCAAAUAUGAAAGGAACGCAUCAAGGGGUACAAAGAAAACUUUUGGAUGUAAAUCCUAGAGCUUUUUAUUCUGCUUGUGGUUGUCAUAGCCUUGAUUUAACACUUUGUGAUAUGGCCAAGACUUGUGGUAGAGCAAAAGACUUUUUUGGAAUCAUCCAGCACAUCUAUACAAUGUUUGCCAAUUCUACUAAGAAAUGGCAUAUUUUGAAAAAAAACAUAUUAGGAUUGGCUCUCAAGUCCCUGUCAGCUACACGUUGGGAGAGUCGUGUUGAAGUUAAAGCUAUUAGAUUUCAAUGUUCAGACAUUUGGGAGGCUCUACUUCAGGUAUCUGAAAUUGAUAGUGAUCCAAAGGCAAGCAGUGAGGAUCUAGGUUUGGCGAACAAUGAACUUGAAGGGUAUGAAUUUAUUGUGGCAAUAGAAAUUUAGUAUGAGGUAUUGUCUGCUAUUAAUUUAGUAAGGAAGAACUUGCAAACAAAGGAUAUGAUUAUUGAUGUUGCAGUUGAGAAAGUGAAAGGACUUAUGUCUUUCUUCAAGGGAUACAGAGCAACUAGUUUCUUAGAAGCAUUGGAGAUAGCCAAAGAAAUUGCAGUUGAGAUGGAUAUUGAUGCAACAUUUAGUAAAAUGAGAGAAAUUAAAAGAAAGAAACAAUUUGAUGAGAACCCAGACGACACAAAUAUUGCCACACAGUCUGCAGAGGAAUCAUUUAGAGUCAACCAUUUUAUAUGUGUUGUUGAUCAAGCAGUUUCCUCACUCACAAGGAGAAUUGAGCAAUAUGAAGGUUACCAAAAAAUAUUCGGUUUCUUAUUUACCUCUGAAACAUUAUGUUCAUUGGAUAAGGAUAGUUUGAAAUCUUCUUGUGUUAAUAUUCAGGCUGCCCUUAUGAAGGAUAAACAAUCUGUUAUUGAUGCCAAUGCUUUAUUUAAUUUGAAGUUUCUUCAAAAUUUCAUGCCAAAAGAAAAUAUCGGACCUGUUGAAAUUCUGAAUUUUUUAAAGUGGCUCGAUUGUUUUCCCAAUGCAAGUAUUGCAUAUAGACAUCUGUUGGCCAUUCCUGUGACAGUUGCAUUGGCAGAAAGAAGUUUUUCUAAAUUGAAGCCAUUGAAGUCAUAUAUGCGCACUGCUAUGACACAGCAAAGACUCAAUGAUUUGGCCACAAUAGCACUUGAGAGUGAAGUGUUGGAGAAUAUUGAUUAUGAGUAUAUCGUUGAAGAUUCCAUUCAAAGAAUACUAAAAGAAUGA
rnacentral:rRNA from 1 species